rnacentral:rRNA from 1 species
GGGUUUAUACCGUUGGUCGGGCUUUUUGGUCUGUACUGGCGAGAUGAAUUCCUACCUUCUGAAUAACCAGCAUGCCAUUAAUUUGGUGCGUUGGGGAAGCAGGACUGUUACCUUGAAAAAAUUAGAGUGCUUAAAGCAGGCUAUUGCCUGAAUACAUUAGCAUGGAAUAAUGAAAUAGGACGCAUGGUUCUAUUUUGUUGGUUUCUAGGAUCACCGUA